rnacentral:rRNA from 1 species
AUUGAACGCUGGCGGCAGGCUUAACACAUGCAAGUCGAGCGGGGGAAGGUAGCUUGCUACCGGACCUAGCGGCGGACGGGUGAGUAAUGCUUAGGAAUCUGCCUAUUAGUGGGGGACAACAUCUCGAAAGGGAUGCUAAUACCGCAUACGUCCUACGGGAGAAAGCAGGGGGUCUUCGGACCUUGCGCUAAUAGAUGAGCCUAAGUCGGAUUAGCUAGUUGGUGGGGUAAAGGCCUACCAAGGCGACGAGCUGUAGCGGGUCUGAGAGGAUGAUCCGCCACACUGGGACUGAGACACGGCCCAGACUCCUACGGGAGGCAGCAGUGGGGAAUAUUGGACAAUGGGGGGAACCCUGAUCCAGCCAUGCCGCGUGUGUGAAGAAGGCCUUAUGGUUGUAAAGCACUUUAAGCGAGGAGGAGGCUACUCUAGUUAAUACCUAGGGAUAGUGGACGUUACUCGCAGAAUAAGCACCGGCUAACUCUGUGCCAGCCGCCGCAGUAA